CGUGGUAUGGUUCAAAGAAUACUGGUUUUGAAAUUCAAGGUUCCUGGGUUAAAUCCCAGUUCUAUGU
rnacentral:tRNA from 1 species